rnacentral:rRNA from 1 species
CCUACGGGUGACAGCAGUGAGGAAUAUUGGUCAAUGGACGAGAGUCUGAACCAGCCAAGUAGCGUGAAGGCUGACUGCCCUAUUGGUUGUAAACUUCUUUUAUAAAGGAAUAACACGAGUCACGCGUGCCUUUUUGCAUGUACUUUAUGAAUAAGGAUCGGCUAACUCCGUUCCAGCAGCCGCGGUAAUCCGGCGGAUCCGAUCGUUAUCCGGCUUUAUUGGGUUUAAAGGGAGCGUAGAUGGGUUGUUAAGUCAGUUGUGAAAGUUUGAGGCUCAACCGUAAAAUGGCAAUUGAUACUGGCAGUCUUGAGUACAGGUGAGGUAGGCGGAAUUCGUGGUGUAGCGGUGAAAUGCUGAGAUAUCACGAAGAACCCCGAUUGCGAAGGCAGCUUACUAAACUGUGACGGACAUUGAUGCGCGAAAGUGUGGGUAUCAAACAGGAUUAGAUACCCGAGUAGUC